GACGAACGCUGGCGGCGUGCUUAACACAUGCAAGUCGAACGAAGCGGCGGACGGGUGAGUAACACGUGGGUAACCUGCCCUCCUUUCUGGGAUAAGCUUUGGAAACGGGGUCUAAUACCGAAUAGAGGCGGAGGGUGGGGUGGCCUGUCGGCUUGUUGGUGGGGUACUGGCCGACCUAGGCGGUGACGGGUGGACGGCCUGAGAGGGUGAACGGCCACAUUGGUACGGAGAUACGGCCCAGAGUCCUACGCGAGGCAGCAUUGGGGGAUAUUGGACAAUGUGCGAACGCCUGAUGCAGCGUCGGCGCGUGGGGGCUGAAGGCUUUCUGGUUGUAAUCCUCGUUCGCUAUCUAACGGGUAGGUGGUGAAGAAGCGCCGGCUAACUACGUGCCAGCAGCCGCGGUAAUUC
rnacentral:rRNA from 1 species